UACGUAGGGUGCAAGCGUUGUCCGGAAUUAUUGGGCGUAAAGAGCUCGUAGGCGGUGUGUCGCGUCGGCCGUGAAAACCUGCAGCUUAACUGUGGCUUGCGGUCGAUACGGGCAUCACUGGAGUUCGGCAGGGGAGACUGGAAUUCCUGGUGUAGCGGUGAAAUGCGCAGAUAUCAGGAGGAACACCGGUGGCGAAGGCGGGUCUCUGGGCCGAUACUGACGCUGAGGAGCGAAGCGUGGGAGCGAACAGG
rnacentral:rRNA from 1 species